rnacentral:misc_RNA from 1 species
GUUUUUCCCCUUUUCGGUACUUCUGGUUAUGGUAAUGCCACAGAUCCUGCAGCUGCAGGCUUGCAUUAUGCAACUAUUUCCAAUUUUCCUUGCCAUCACAAAUUCAUUAUCUAGGCUAGCAGAGAAAGCUGAUAUCAUCUAGGAUUUUGAGCCUUCCAUGGAAGAGUUAACAAUGUAUAGCCCAUUCAUGCAUUGUUUCCUGACUUCAGGAUUUGUAUGUCUUGCAUUUUUCCAUUUUGAAAGAACCAAGCGAGGUUGUUAGAUCUUUUGAAGUUGCCCAUUAUUUUUUUAUUGUGAAAUUCUCUUCUAGGAAAAAGUGAAGGAGAAGUUAAAUGCCCUUGUGCAAAUUUCUCAUGUUUGCAUGUGCACUUCUAAUAAUGGCACAACCAUUUUAAGUGGCAUAAUUAUUUAGUUUUAUAUUUUAUUUAGCUGAUUACAUCCCAAUUCAAAUUUUGAACCUUAAAAUUUGCUAAAGCCUUUUCGGCAAAUUAUAGAAUACAACUCGGUUCACUAAAAAAUAGUGCACCCCACACUUACAUAAAAGCAGUUACAUCAUGAAAGUAGGAUGUUGUGCACCGUGGAAGCGUGUAAACUAUAAAGAAAUA